rnacentral:rRNA from 1 species
AACAAAAUAUCAAACUAAUUGUUAACCCAACACAGGCAUGCAAACUUAGGGAAAGAUUAAAAGAAGUAAAAGGAACUCGGCAAACACAAGCCCCGCCUGUUUACCAAAAACAUCACCUCUAGCAUUUCUAGUAUUAGAGGCACUGCCUGCCCAGUGACACUAGUUAAACGGCCGCGGUAUUCUGACCGUGCAAAGGUAGCAUAAUCAUUUGUUCCCUAAAUAGGGACUUGUAUGAAUGGCCACACGAGGGCUUUACUGUCUCUUACUUCCGAUCCGUGAAAUUGACCUUCCCGUGAAGAGGCGGGAAUAUAACAAUAAGACGAGAAGACCCUAUGGAGCUUUAAUUAACCGACCCAAAGAGACCCCAUUUAUCCAACCGACAGGAACAACAAACCUCUACUAUGGGUCGACAAUUUAGGUUGGGGUGACCUCGGAGAAUAAAACAACCUCCGAGUGAUUUAAAUCAAGACUAACCAGUCAAAAGUAUUACAUCACUUAUUGAUCCAAAAACUUGAUCAACGGAACAAGUUACCCUAGGGAUAACAGCGCAAUCCUAUUUUAGAGUCCAUAUCGACAAUAGGGUUUACGACCUCGAUGUUGGAUCAGGACAUCCCGAUGGUGCAGCAGCUAUCAAAGGUUCGUUUGUUCAACGAUUAAAGUCCUACGUGAUCUGAGUUCAGACCGGAGUAAUCCAGGUCGGUUUCUAUCUAUUUAAUAAUUUCUCCCAGUACGAAAGGACAAGAGAAAUAAGGCCCACUUUACCAAAGCGCCUUUAACCUAAUAGAUGAUAUAAUCUUAAUCUAGACAGUUUACCUGAUCUUAUCUACCCGAGAGCUCGGGUUU